rnacentral:rRNA from 1 species
AUUGAACGCUGGCGGCAGGCUUAACACAUGCAAGUCGAGCGGGGGAAGGUAGCUUGCUACCGGACCUAGCGGCGGACGGGUGAGUAAUGCUUAGGAAUCUGCCUAUUAGUGGGGGACAACAUCUCGAAAGGGAUGCUAAUACCGCAUACGUCCUACGGGAGAAAGCAGGGGAUCUUCGGACCUUCCGCUAAUAGAUGAGCCUAAGGCGGAUUAGCUAGUUGGUUGGGUAAAGGCCUACCAAGGCGACGAUCUGUAGCGGGUCUGAGAGGAUGAUCCGCCACACUGGGACUGAGACACGGCCCAGACUCCUACGGGAGGCAGCAGUGGGGAAUAUUGGACAAUGGGGGGAACCCUGAUCCAGCCAUGCCGCGUGUGUGAAGAAGGCCUUAUGGUUGUAAAGCACUUUAAGCGAGGAGGAGGCUACUCUAGUUAAUACCUAGGGAUAGUGGACGUUACUCGCAGAAUAAGCACCGGCUAACUCUGUGCCAGCCGCCGCGGUAA